rnacentral:rRNA from 1 species
UACGGGGGGGGCAAGCGUUGUUCGGAAUUACUGGGCGUAAAGGGCUCGUAGGCGGCCAACUAAGUCAGACGUGAAAUCCCUCGGCUUAACCGGGGAACUGCGUCUGAUACUGGAUGGCUUGAGUUUGGGAGAGGGAUGCGGAAUUCCAGGUGUAGCGGUGAAAUGCGCAGAUAUCAGGAGGAACACCGGUGGCGAAGGCGGUUCUCUGGGCAUGUCCUGACGCUGAGGAGCGAAAGUGUGGGGAGCGAACAGG